UGGCUGUCGGCCGGCAGGGGGAGUGGAGAUUCCUGCGCGGCCUGGGAGGCGCGCGGCUGGCGGCCAGGGCGGCUUCUGGGAAGCCGAGUUUCGCGCAGGCGGCGGCAGCGGUGGCGGCAGCUCUUCCCUGAACUGGAAGCCGAAUGGAACUCUCAGAACAGAAUACAAUAUGCGGUCCACAGCAUCGGCUGACAGUAACCUUCACUCCUUUUCUACACUCCACUUCGUUUUUAAUAAAAGCAAAACAAAGGUUGGUAGUUUUUUUCCUAAACAGUUGUAUGCACUUGACGCACUGAAAUCACAACUUGUUAUGCUACUGUUAAGCUAAAUCACUUCUAUGUCAUUUUGAGAUCUCAGUGCUGAACUUUGUCUUUAUCACUAUUAAAUUUCCUCUAUAGAAAUUCCAGACUGAUAAGUUUUUUUGUAUCCUGGAUUUUCUCCCAAUCUGGACCUACUCCUCCCAGCACGACUUCCUUUAUUUCUGAAGCUGUAAAAUAUAAAUGUUCUGUGGCUUUGAAUGGAAAAAAUAGUUGAGGUCCCGAGCCAUUCUUAAUGGAGUCAAUGGAAAAUUAAGGGGAGGCCUUUAAAGGGAAGCAUUGUUUGAGAUCUUGGAAGUGAAAGGAGGAGAAAAUGUCGGGAAUAGCAUUGCUGCUUGAGUUAAUAUGUUGUUGAGUUUUUCCCUCAUCAAAUUUAUGUGUUUCCUGGGUGCAAGGCAGUUGUAAAUUGUGAGGUUGUAGAAUCUAAAAGGAUCUUUGAGGUCAUCUAGUUCAACCCUUCAAUUUACAAGUUUAAAAAGGGCCAGGAGCUUAUGAGUCAACAGAGGAAGGGAUUGUGAGGUUAGGAGCCAUCAUGGAUCAGAAAGGCAGAUAAAGGGAGGACAAAACUAGAGUCACAAGCUGAAUCCAGCAAGCUGAAUCCACGUGAGGAGGUUGAAGUAGGUUGCCUGAGUCAUAAGCUGAUUUAUGUAUGGCUUAGCAAGCUUUUGCUUCAGUUUCUGUGUUCCUUUUAGAGAGGCCAAGGACACUAAUUAAUAUCAAUUGUAUGCCCCCACAGCAUAAAAUAAAAACCAGGUUUUCUUGAGAAGUGGAAACUUUAGAGAGAUUAGUUUAUAAUCUAGGCACUUGACAUCAAGUUGAGUGUUCUGGGAAAAUAUGUUAGCAAGAUCUAUCUGAAGAGCUUAUUAGAACUUGUUUCUACACAUUUCCCCCCAUUUAUGAAAGUAAUUCCUUGUCAUUUUUUUUUUUUUUUUUUUUUUUAGUACCGGGGAUCGAACUUGAGACCUUGCGCUGCUUUCGAGGCAGGCACUGGAACCACUGAGCUAAAUCUCCAGCCCUGUUUUAAACAUUUUUAAUCACACUGGUUACAUGGUUUUUACAUUUGUAUUUUUCUGCUUAACAUACUCUGAACAUUUUCCCAUUUUAUUUAAAAUCAUUGAAGACGUUACUGA
rnacentral:lncRNA from 1 species